UCACGGCCUGCCAGCUUGGCGGCGGGGACAACCCUGCCGGGGACGCUCGCUGAGGAGAAAACGGGGGGCCGUUCUCUGGCGCCGACGAGAGAGAAGCUCGAGGGGAAACCCUGGCUCCUUCCGGAAUGGACAGAAGGCUGCUUUUUCCACAGCUGAGAAGUGGUUGGGGAAUGGUGGCUGGGAAGAGUUGCCCUGACUUCGCCCUAAAGGGAACUUCAGUUCUAGGCGGACACAACAUCUUCGUUUGUAUGUGGUGCUGAGGAUGGAACCCGGGCCGCAUGCACGCUAGGUAGCUUCAGAUAUCUUCACUCCUAUUGUUGGUAAAGAUGGCACCUGGAGCACUUCUCUUUCGGGAGCUCAGGUCCAUGAAGCACUGAAUGGCUCGAGAACUGUCACCUCCAAUCCCUGUGAAUGGCGCGAACUUUGAAUGGCGCACCUCCAAUCCCUUAAGUGGCUCAAACUCUCAGCCAAUGAAGAAGUAACAGCCCACUUGCCUUGCUCCUCCUCAUCUUGUGUUAAGCCCAUAAAUAUCAACACCCUGUUCCUG